GCAGCCACGGGCACCCUGCAAGCUUUCACUGCCGUAAAGAAAAGCGCCUGGGUCAGGACCCACGGAAGAACGGAUCGACCUGGCUGUUUGGCUUAGAAACCUCGUGACCGAACUGUUGACUUCAGCAGCGCCGGAGACGAACAAACAGGAGCUCAGGGCUGGCGACCCAAAUCCCAUCACUUGCGCUUCGGGGAUCCAGCCCGGCCCCACUUGUCGCCCUUGGGCUUUGUGGCCUCUCCCUGCCUCGUGCCCUUCCCAGAGCCUCCUCACCUCCCUGGCCUGCGAGUCCUUCCUUCAUUAAAUGGGACGGUGAAGGGGGAAAUAUACCCAAGUUGUACGCCAAUGUCCAUAGCAGAAUUAUUCACAAUCAGCAAAGCUGGAAACAACCCAGGAACCAUCAGCAGAGGAAUGGAUAAAGGAAAUGAAAGGAAAUGGGCUGGAUACACACGUUGGAGUCUUAGCCACAGAGAGGAAUGAAGUUCUGACACAUUCUACAACAUGGAGAAGCCUGGAGAACCUCUGCCAGGCAAAAGAAGCCAGGGACAAAGAACAAAUGCUUCAUGAGUCCAUUUAUAUGGGGCACCUGGAGCAGGGCAGUUCGAGGACAUAGAAGACAG
rnacentral:lncRNA from 1 species